GGAGGGAUGGCCGAGUGGUUUAAGGCGGCGGUCUUGAAAACCGUUGUUCCUAGCGGAACCGUGGGUUCGAAUCCUACUCCCUCCGCCA
rnacentral:tRNA from 1 species